rnacentral:rRNA from 1 species
GAUGAACGCUGGCGGCGUGCCUAAUACAUGCGAGUCGAGCGAACGGACGAGAAGCUUGCUUCUCUGAUGUUAGCGGCGGACGGGUGAGUAACACGUGGAUAACCUACCUAUAAGACUGGGAUAACUUCGGGAAACCGGAGCUAAUACCGGAUAAUAUUUUGAACCGCAUGGUUCAAAAGUGAAAGACGGCCUUGCUGUCACUUAUAGCUGGAUCCGCGCUGCAUUAGCUAGUUGGUAAGGUAACGGCUUACCAAGGCAACGAUGCGUAUCCGACCUGAGAGGGUGAUCGGCCACACUGGAACUGGGACACGGUCCAGGCUCCUACGGGAGGCAGCAGUAGGGAAUCUUCCGCAAUGGGCGGGAGCCUGACGGAGCAACGCCGCGUGAGUGAUGAAGGUCUUCGGAUCGUAAAACUCUGUUAUUAGGGAAGAACAUAUGUGUAAGUAACUGUGCACAUCUUGACGGUACCUAAUCAAAAAGCCACGGCUAACUACGUG